UACGUAGGGACCGAGCGUUGUCCGGAAUCAUUGGGCGUAAAGAGCGUGUAGGCGGCCUUUUAAGUCCUGCGUGAAAUCCUGCGGCUCAACCGCAGACGGUCGUGGGAAACUGGAAGGCUAGAGUGCGGGAGAGGAGAGUGGAAUUCCCGGUGUAGCGGUGAAAUGCGCAGAUAUCGGGAAGAACACGCGUGGCGAAGGCGGCUCUCUGGAACGUAACUGACGCUGAGACGCGAAAGCGUGGGGAGCAAGCAGG
rnacentral:rRNA from 1 species